rnacentral:rRNA from 1 species
UACGAAGGGGCUAGCGUUGCUCGGAAUCACUGGGCGUAAAGCGCACGUAGGCGGAUUGCUAAGUCAGGGGUGAAAUCCUGGAGCUCAACUCCAGAACUGCCUUUGAAUACUGGCAACCUUGAGUCCGGGAGAGGUGAGUGGAACUGCGAGUGUAGAGGUGAAAUUCGUAGAUAUUCGCAAGAACACCAGUGGCGAAGGCGGCUCACUGGCCCGGUACUGACGCUGAGGUGCGAAAGCGUGGGGAGCAAACAGG